ensembl:snRNA U6 U6 spliceosomal RNA
AUGCUUGCUUAGGCAGCACAUAUACUAAAAUUGGAAUGAUACAGAGAAGAUUAGCAUGGUCCCUACACAAGGAUGACACGCAAAUCUGUGAAGCGUUCCAUAUUUUU